rnacentral:tRNA from 1 species
GGGCCGGUGGUCUAGUCUGGCUAGGACACCGCGUUCACAUCGCGGUAGUCGCCGGUUCGAAUCCGGCUCGGCCCACCA